rnacentral:rRNA from 1 species
AGAGUUUGAUCCUGGCUCAGAACGAACGCUGGCGGCAGGCUUAACACAUGCAAGUCGAGCGCCCCGCAAGGGGAGCGGCAGACGGGUGAGUAACGCGUGGGAACAUACCCUUUGGUUCGGAAUAACUCAGGGAAACUUGAGCUAAUACCGGAUACGUCCGUAAGGAGAAAGAUUUAUCGCCAAAGGAUUGGCCCGCGUCCGAUUAGCUAGUUGGUGAGGUAACGGCUCACCAAGGCUACGAUCGGUAGCUGGUCUGAGAGGAUGAUCAGCCACAUUGGGACUGAGACACGGCCCAAACUCCUACGGGAGGCAGCAGUGGGGAAUAUUGGACAAUGGGCGCAAGCCUGAUCCAGCCAUGCCGCGUGAGUGAUGAAGGCCUUAGGGUUGUAAAGCUCUUUUGUCCGGGAAGAUAAUGACUGUACCGGAAGAAUAAGCCCCGGCUAACUUCGUGCCAGCAGCCGCGGUAAUACGAAGGGGGCUAGCGUUGUUCGGAAUCACUGGGCGUAAAGCGCACGUAGGCGGACCGUUAAGUCGGAGGUGAAAGCCUGGGGCUCAACCCCAGAACUGCCUUCGAUACUGGCGGUCUUGAGUAUGGUAGAGGUUGGUGGAACUCCGAGUGUAGAGGUGAAAUUCGUAGAUAUUCGGAAGAACACCAGUGGCGAAGGCGGCCAACUGGACCAUUACUGACGCUGAGGUGCGAAAGCGUGGGGAGCAACAGGAUUAGAUACCCUGGUAGUCCACGCUGUAAACGAUGAGAGCUAGCCGUUGGGGUGCAUGCACCUCAGUGGCGCAGCUAACGC